CCUACGGGAGGCAGCAGUGAGGAAUAUUGGUCAAUGGACGAGAGUCUGAACCAGCCAAGUAGCGUGAAGGAUGACUGCCCUAUGGGUUGUAAACUUCUUUUAUAAAGGAAUAAAACGAGGCACGUGUGCCUUUUUGCAUGUACUUUAUGAAUAAGGAUCGGCUAACUCCGUGCCAGCAGCCGCGUUAAUACGGAGGAUCCGAGCGUUAUCCGGAUUUAUUGGGUUUAAAGGGAGCGUAGAUGGGUUGUUAAGUCAGUUGUGAAAGUUUGCGGCUCAACCGUAAAAUUGCAAUUGAUACUGGCAGUCGUGAGUACAGUUGAGGUAGGCGGAAUUCGUGGUGUAGCGGUGAAAUGCUUAGAUAUCACGAAGAACCCCGAUUGCGAAGGCAGCUUACUAAACUGUGACUGACAUUGAUGCUCGAAAGUGUGGGUAUCAAACAGGAUUAGAUACCCUUGUAGUC
rnacentral:rRNA from 1 species